UACGGAGGAUGCGAGCGUUAUCCGGAUUUAUUGGGUUUAAAGGGUGCGUAGGCGGAACAUUAAGUCAGCGGUAAAAUCGAGGGGCUCAACCCCUUUAAGCCGUUGAAACUGGUGAUCUUGAGUGGGCGAGAAGUAUGCGGAAUGCGUGGUGUAGCGGUGAAAUGCAUAGAUAUAACUUAGAACACCGAUAGCGAAGGCAGCUUACCAGACUGAGUCUGACGCUGAUGCACGAGAGCAUGGGUAGCGAACAGG
rnacentral:rRNA from 1 species